AACGAACGCUGGCGGCAUGCCUAACACAUGCAAGUCGAACGAAGCCUUCGUGCUUAGUGGCGCACGGGUGCGGAACGCGUGGGAAUCUGCCCCUUGCUUCGGAAUAACAGUUAUAAAUGACUGCUAAUACCGGAUGAAGUCUUCUGACCAAAGAUUUAUCGUCAGGGGAUGAGCCCGCGUAGGAUUAGGUAGUUGGUGGGGUAAGGGCCUACCAAGCCGACGAUCCUUAGCUGGUCAGAGAGGAUGAGCAGCCACACUGGGACUGAGACACGGCCCAGAAUACUACGGGAGGCAGCAGUGGGGAAUAUUGGACUAUGGACGCAAGUAUGAUCCAGCAAUGCCGCGUGAGUGAUGAAGGCCUUAGGGUUGUAAAGCUCUUUUACCAGGGAUGAUAAUGACAGUACCUGGAGAAUAAGCUCCGGCUAACUCCGUG
rnacentral:rRNA from 1 species